UAGGUUUGAGAGUGCUAGGCUGUUCACCUGGACCAGCCAAGCUCUGAAGAGCCAUGUCGAAUCCCUGGGAAGACAGAGCAUGGGGCGUGCUGAUUUAAAAACAGAAAAUGCAAAGUUGGACUGAAAAUACCCUCAGUCUUCCAAGCAAUCUGCUUGAGGGCUCCAAACUUACCUUCAUUUGGUGAGAAAGAAAAUAAAAAAGCUUUCUUUCUUCUUCUACAACUGGAACCAGCCAUUUCCCCAAACCAGCACCAUG
rnacentral:other from 1 species